GCCCCGUACACAAAAGCGCAUGUGCUGUGAGCUCGAUGAGUAGGGCGGGACACGUGAUAUCCUGUCUGAAUAUGGGGGGACCAUCCUCCAAGGCUAAAUACUCCUGACUGACCGAUAGUGAACCAGUACCGUGAGGGAAAGGCGAAAAGAACCCCGGCGAGGGGAGUGAAAAAGAACCUGAAACCGUGUACGUACAAGCAGUGGGAGCACCCUUCGGGGUGUGACUGCGUACCUUUUGUAUAAUGGGUCAGCGACUUAUAUUCUGUAGCAAGGUUAACCGAAUAGGGGAGCCGGAGGGAAACCGAGUCUUAACCGGGCGUUAAGUUGCAGGGUAUAGACCCGAAACCCGGUGAUCUAGCCAUGGGCAGGUUGAAGGUUGGGUAACACUAACUGGAGGACCGAACCGACUAAUGUUGAAAAAUUAGCGGAUGACCUGUGGCUGGGGGUGAAAGGCCAAUCAAACCGGGAGAUAGCUGGUUCUCCCCGAAAGCUAUUUAGGUAGCGCCUCGUGAAUUCAUCUCCGGGGGUAGAGCACUGUUUCGGCUAGGGGGCCAUCCCGGCUUACCAACCCGAUGCAAACUGCGAAUACCGGAGAAUGUUAUCACGGGAGACACACGGCGGGUGCUAACGUCCGUCGUGAAGAGGGAAACAACCCAGACCGCCAGCUAAGGUCCCAAAGUCAUGGUUAAGUGGGAAACGAUGUGGGAAGGCCCAGACAGCCAGGAUGUUGGCUUAGAAGCAGCCAUCAUUUAAAGAAAGCGUAAUAGCUCACUGGUCGAGUCGGCCUGCGCGGAAGAUGUAACGGGGCUAAACCAU
rnacentral:rRNA from 2 species